CAAUAGCGUAUAUUAAAGUUGUUGCGGUUAAAAGCUCGUAGUUGGAUUUCUGCUGAGGACGACCGGUCCGCCUUCUAGGUGUGCACCAGGUUCGACCAAAGCAUCCUUUUGGGGUACGUCGCUGCACUUUACUGAGUGGCGCGGAUUUCAAAACUUUUACUUUGAGGAAAUUAGAGUGUUUCAAGCAGGCGACUGCCUUGAAUACAUUAGCAUGGAAUAAUAAUAUAGGACUUCGGUUCUAUUUUGUUUGGUUUCUAGAACUGAAGUAAUGAUUAAUAGGGACAGUCGGGGGCGAUUCGUACUUAACUGUCAGAGGUGAAAUUCUUGGAUUUGUUAAAGACGAACUACUGCGAAAGACAUUUGCCAAGGAUGUUUUCAUUGAUCAAGAACGAAAGUUAAGGGGAGUCGAAGACGAUCAGAUACCAU
rnacentral:rRNA from 1 species